AGACGGCCGUAAUAAUCUGCAUUUGCGCUCGAUUAGAAAGCUCAGCAGGUUUCAGUGGGAUGAACCGCGUCAUCUGUAAUGUGACUUGCUCAUUUAUCACGUCUGAAGCCGAACUCUCCAACCACAGCAAAACUAAUGCAGAGCUUCAGCGGUGAAAGAUGAACUUCACGCUUUCCACACAGAUGAAACACCUACUGCAUUACUGAAGACCUGCUUUAUACCUCUGACAGAGAGCCAAGAUGCUUUCCUUUCAUCUGUUAAAAGAGAGAGAGAGACAGAGAGAGCAUCACUCAGUGCUAUUUUUAUAUCAACAAUACAAUGCCAGACUUCAGACAUGUAGGAGUGAAGCUUGCGGAGACAGAAAAAGACCUGUUUUCUCCAAAACCCACCGAGUGUCGCUCCAAACGCCGUCCUGACGCAUGCGGUGGGAAGAUGUAUUUUCCGCCUAUUGAUAUUGGCAAUAAUAUUGACGUUUUAAUAUUGAAUAAUAUUGCAGUUUUUAUUUGUGUAAUUAGGUUUUUUAAGUAUUAUAGGUGGGCAUAGAUAUUUUUUAAUGUAGAUU